AUGGCCUGCCGCCGCCCCACCCCGCCGUCGCCGUCGCUGGCGCCGGCGCCGGUGCCUCCGCUCGAGGACGACGACCUCCUCGAGGAGAUCCUCCUCCGCCUCCCCCCGCAGCCGUCCUCCCUCCUCCGCGCCUCCCUCGUCAGCAAGCGCUGGCGCGGCCUCGUCAAGCUCCGCCGCUUCCUCCGCCUCUUCCGCGCCCGCCACGGGAGCCUCCCCCUCCUCGCCGUCUUCCCCGGCGAGGUCGACAUGAGCCACCCCUUCUUCACGCCCUCCCUCGACCCGCCCGACAGGGUGCCCACCGCGCGCUUCCCCAUGCCGCUCGCCCCCCUCGCCUUCCCCCUCGUCCUCGACUGCCGCCACAGCCACGCCCUCGUCCUCAACCGGCGGGUCAGCCAGCUCCUGGUGUGGGAUCCGGUGACCGUAGACAAGCACCCUGUUGACCUCCCCCCGGCCUUCAAGGGGCGACAGGUGAUGCUCCACAACGGGUCAGUGCUCUGCGCCGGCGCCGCCGCCGCGGAAGGCCGCCUGCACGGCAGCUGCAAUUCCAGCCCAUUCAAGGUGGUGCUGCUGGCCUCUGGCAGAACACAUGAGCGAUCCUUCUCGGUCUGCGUCUACUCAUCGCAGACAGGCGCAUGGGGCGAUGUGAUUUCAGCAGAGUUUCAACCUGCCGCAAUGGAGCCUCUGUAUACUGCAUCCGAGCUGUACAUGUACGUCCCCAGUACCUUGGUUGGGAGCUCCAUCUACUGGCUGCUUCGUGGCAAUGGCGACACCAUCGUCGAGUUCGAUAUGGAUAGCCGGACCCUAGCUGUGAUAGAGAUGCCACCAGAUCUGUAUGACCAUGGUAUAUCCAGCUCCUUCAUGACUAUGCCAGCGCAGGAUGGUGGGCUUGGCUUGAUCCUUGUGAAUGACUUCUAUGCCAAAUUAUGGAAGAGGGGGGCUGAUUGCAAUGGUGUCGCUAUAUGGGUGCCCGGAAUAACUAUUCAACUGGACAAGCUUCUUUCACUGAAUGCUGAGCACAACAGAGGUCUACUAUCUUUGUUGGGGUUCGCCGAGGACAGCAAUGCGUUCGUGGUUGGGGCAUCUAGGAUCGGUAUCUUCGUGGUCUAUCUCAAUCCUCUGAGGUUUAAGAAAAUUUAUGAAAGGAGGGAUCUCUGUAUCUUUCAUCCAUUUGAGAGUUUCUGUGUUGCAGGUAUCUAG
rnacentral:rRNA from 1 species